rnacentral:rRNA from 1 species
AUGGCGGCCACGCUGCCGCAGCUGGACGACGGCAUCGUCCGCAGCAUGGCCAUCGGCGCGGUCUUCACCGACUACGCCGGGAAGAUAAGCUGCCUCGAUUUCCACCGCAAGGAGGACCUCCUCGUCACCUCCAGCGAGGACGACUCCAUUCGCCUCUACAACACCACCAGCGCCACGUUGUCGAAGACUACUUAUCAUAAAAAACAUGGUGCUGACCGUGUCUGUUUUACUCAUCAUCCGAGUUCCAUAUUAUGUUCAUCAAGAUACAAUGUGGAGUCAGGAGAAUCACUUCGUUACCUGUCAUUGUAUGACAACCGUUGCUUGAGAUAUUUCAAAGGACACAAAGACAGGGUUGUUUCACUAUGUAUGUCACCUGUCAAUGAUAGCUUUAUGUCGGGGUCACUUGAUCACAGUGUCAGAAUAUGGGAUCUUCGUGUAAAUGCUUGUCAGGGUAUACUGCGUCUGCGUGGUAGGCCUUCUGUUGCAUAUGAUCAGCAGGGACUUGUUUUUGCUGUAGCAAUGGAGGGAGGUGCUAUUAAGCUGUUUGAUUCUCGGUCAUAUGACAAGGGUCCAUUCGACACUUUCUUGGUUGGUGGAGAUACGGCUGAAGUGUCUGACAUUAAAUUCAGCAACGAUGGCAAGUCUGUGCUUUUGACUACAACUAACAACCAUAUAUAUGUUCUAGAUGCAUAUGGAGGGGAGAAGAAGUGUGGCUUCAGCUUGGAGUCAUCUCGCAACAUAGCAACUGAAGCUGCUUUCACUCCAGAUGGUCAAUAUGUAAUUUCAGGAUCUGGUGAUGGUACCUUGCAUGCUUGGAACAUCAAUACAGUACAGGAGAUUGCCUGUUGGAACAGUCAUAUUGGUCCUAUCACUGCUUUGAAAUGGGCCCCUCGUCGAGCUAUGUUCGCAACUGCAUCGACAGCACUGACUUUCUGGAUUCCCAACGAAUCCAGUUCGAGUUAG